rnacentral:rRNA from 1 species
AGCGUACACGGUGGAUGCCCUGGCAGUCAGAGGCGAUGAAGGACGUGCUAAUCUGCGAUAAGCGUCGGUAAGGUGAUAUGAACCGUUAUAACCGGCGAUUUCCGAAUGGGGAAACCCAGUGUGAUUCGUCACACUAUCAUUAACUGAAUCCAUAGGUUAAUGAGGCGAACCGGGGGAACUGAAACAUCUAAGUACCCCGAGGAAAAGAAAUCAACCGAGAUUCCCCCAGUAGCGGCGAGCGAACGGGGAGCAGCCCAGAGCCUGAAUCAGUGUGUGUGUUAGUGGAAGCGUCUGGAAAGGCGCGCGAUACAGGGUGACAGCCCCGUACACAAAAAUGCACAUGCUGUGAGCUCGAUGAGUAGGGCGGGACACGUGGUAUCCUGUCUGAAUAUGGGGGGACCAUCCUCCAAGGCUAAAUACUCCUGACUGACCGAUAGUGAACCAGUACCGUGAGGGAAAGGCGAAAAGAACCCCGGCGAGGGGAGUGAAAAAGAACCUGAAACCGUGUACGUACAAGCAGUGGGAGCACGCUUAGGCNGUGAGGGAAAGGCGAAAAGAACCCCGGCGAGGGGAGUGAAAAAGAACCUGAAACCGUGUACGUACAAGCAGUGGGAGCACAGAGCAAUCUGUGUGACUGCGUACCUUUUGUAUAAUGGGUCAGCGACUUAUAUUCUGUAGCAAGGUUAACCGAAUAGGGGAGCCGAAGGGAAACCGAGUCUUAACUGGGCGUUAAGUUGCAGGGUAUAGACCCGAAACCCGGUGAUCUAGCCAUGGGCAGGUUGAAGGUUGGGUAACACUAACUGGAGGACCGAACCGACUAAUGUUGAAAAAUUAGCGGAUGACUUGUGGCUGGGGGUGAAAGGCCAAUCAAACCGGGAGAUAGCUGGUUCUCCCCGAAAGCUAUUUAGGUAGCGCCUCGUGAAUUCAUCUCCGGGGGUAGAGCACUGUUUCGGCAAGGGGGUCAUCCCGACUUACCAACCCGAUGCAAACUGCGAAUACCGGAGAAUGUUAUCACGGGAGACACACGGCGGGUGCUAACGUCCGUCGUGAAGAGGGAAACAACCCAGACCGCCAGCUAAGGUCCCAAAGUCAUGGUUAAGUGGGAAACGAUGUGGGAAGGCCCAGACAGCCAGGAUGUUGGCUUAGAAGCAGCCAUCAUUUAAAGAAAGCGUAAUAGCUCACUGGUCGAGUCGGCCUGCGCGGAAGAUGUAACGGGGCUAAACCAUGCACCGAAGCUGCGGCAGCGACGCUUAUGCGUUGUUGGGUAGGGGAGCGUUCUGUAAGCCUGUGAAGGUGUACUGUGAGGUAUGCUGGAGGUAUCAGAAGUGCGAAUGCUGACAUAAGUAACGAUAAAGCGGGUGAAAAGCCCGCUCGCCGGAAGACCAAGGGUUCCUGUCCAACGUUAAUCGGGGCAGGGUGAGUCGACCCCUAAGGCGAGGCCGAAAGGCGUAGUCGAUGGGAAACAGGUUAAUAUUCCUGUACUUGGUGUUACUGCGAAGGGGGGACGGAGAAGGCUAUGUUGGCCGGGCGACGGUUGUCCCGGUUUAAGCGUGUAGGCUGGUUUUCCAGGCAAAUCCGGAAAACUNGACGGAGAAGGCUAUGUUGGCCGGGCGACGGUUGUCCCGGUUUAAGCGUGUAGGCUGGUUUUCCAGGCAAAUCCGGAAAAUCAAGGCUGAGGCGUGAUGACGAGGCACUACGGUGCUGAAGCAACAAAUGCCCUGCUUCCAGGAAAAGCCUCUAAGCAUCAGGUAACAUCAAAUCGUACCCCAAACCGACACAGGUGGUCAGGUAGAGAAUACCAAGGCGCUUGAGAGAACUCGGGUGAAGGAACUAGGCAAAAUGGUGCCGUAACUUCGGGAGAAGGCACGCUGAUAUGUAGGUGAAGUCCCUCGCGGAUGGAGCUGAAAUCAGUCGAAGAUACCAGCUGGCUGCAACUGUUUAUUAAAAACACAGCACUGUGCAAACACGAAAGUGGACGUAUACGGUGUGACGCCUGCCCGGUGCCGGAAGGUUAAUUGAUGGGGUCAGCGCAAGCGAAGCUCUUGAUCGAAGCCCCGGUAAACGGCGGCCGUAACUAUAACGGUCCUAAGGUAGCGAAAUUCCUUGUCGGGUAAGUUCCGACCUGCACGAAUGGCGUAAUGAUGGCCAGGCUGUCUCCACCCGAGACUCAGUGAAAUUGAACUCGCUGUGAAGAUGCAGUGUACCCGCGGCAAGACGGAAAGACCCCGUGAACCUUUACUAUAGCUUGACACUGAACAUUGAGCCUUGAUGUGUAGGAUAGGUGGGAGGCUUUGAAGUGUGGACGCCAGUCUGCAUGGAGCCGACCUUGAAAUACCACCCUUUAAUGUUUGAUGUUCUAACGUUGACCCGUAAUCCGGGUUGCGGACAGUGUCUGGUGGGUAGUUUGACUGGGGCGGUCUCCUCCUAAAGAGUAACGGAGGAGCACGAAGGUUGGCUAAUCCUGGUCGGACAUCAGGAGGUUAGUGCAAUGGCAUAAGCCAGCUUGACUGCGAGCGUGACGGCGCGAGCAGGUGCGAAAGCAGGUCAUAGUGAUCCGGUGGUUCUGAAUGGAAGGGCCAUCGCUCAACGGAUAAAAGGUACUCCGGGGAUAACAGGCUGAUACCGCCCAAGAGUUCAUAUCGACGGCGGUGUUUGGCACCUCGAUGUCGGCUCAUCACAUCCUGGGGCUGAAGUAGGUCCCAAGGGUAUGGCUGUUCGCCAUUUAAAGUGGUACGCGAGCUGGGUUUAGAACGUCGUGAGACAGUUCGGUCCCUAUCUGCCGUGGGCGCUGGAGAACUGAGGGGGGCUGCUCCUAGUACGAGAGGACCGGAGUGGACGCAUCACUGGUGUUCGGGUUGUCAUGCCAAUGGCACUGCCCGGUAGCUAAAUGCGGAAGAGAUAAGUGCUGAAAGCAUCUAAGCACGAAACUUGCCCCGAGAUGAGUUCUCCCUGACUCCUUGA